GACGAACGCUGGCGGCGUGCUUAACACAUGCAAGUCGAACGGAAAGGCCCUGCUUUUGUGGGGUGCUCGAGUGGCGAACGGGUGAGUAACACGUGAGUAACCUGCCCUUGACUUUGGGAUAACUUCAGGAAACUGGGGCUAAUACCGGAUAGGAGCUCCUGCUGCAUGGUGGGGGUUGGAAAGUUUCGGCGGUUUGGGAUGGACUCGCGGCUUAUCAGCUUGUUGGUGAGGUAGUGGCUUACCAAGGCUUUGACGGGUAGCCGGCCUGAGAGGGUGAACGGCCACAUUGGGACUGCGAUACGGCCCAGACUCCUACGGGACGCAGAAGUGGGGAAUCUUGCACAAUGGGCGGAAGCCUGAUGCAGCAACGCCGCGUGCGGGAUGACGGCUUUCGGGUUGUAAACCGCUUUCGCCUGUGACGAAGCGUGAGUGACGGUAAUGGGUAAAGAAGCACCGGCUAACUACGUG
rnacentral:rRNA from 1 species